CAGAUGGAGCAGCGUACUGUAUGGGACGUAUGAAUUCAGACUGUUGGUACUUGUAUACUCUGGAUUUCCCAGAGAGUCGGGUAAUCAGUCAGCCAGAUCAAACCCUGGAAAUUCUGAUGAGUGAGCUUGACCCAGCAGUUAUGGACCAGUUCUACAUGAAAGAUGGUGUUACUGCAAAGGAUGUCACUCGUGAGAGUGGAAUUCGUGACCUGAUACCAGGUUCUGUCAUUGAUGCCACACUGUUCAAUCCUUGUGGGUAUUCAAUGAAUGGAAUGAAAUCGGAUGGAACUUAUUGGACUAUUCA